rnacentral:rRNA from 1 species
UUAAGCUACUAAGAGCAUAGGGUGAAUGCCUAGGCACCAAAAGCCGAUGAAAGACGUGACAAGCUGCGAUAAGCCUUGGGGAGGAGCACAUAUCCUUUGAUCCAGGGAUUUCUGAAUGAGGAAACUCAGCUGGGAAAAAGAGCCCAGUUAUCCACACAUGAGUAAAGUAGUGUGUGAGAAGGGAACGUGGAGAACUGAAACAUCUUAGUACCCACAGGAAAAGAAAGAAAAAUCGAUAUCGAAAGUAGUGGCGAGCGAAAUCGAUAGAGCCCAAACCAGAAUCAGUAAUGAUACUGGGGUUCGGACAGCAUAAUUGAUUAAACGAGGAUAGCAAAACUGUUUUGGAAAAGCAGACUAUAAAGGGUGAAAGUCCCGUAUGCGAAAUUCAAGUUUACAUGGCUGUAUCCAGAGUAGUGCGAGACACGAGAAAUCUCGUAUGAAUGAGCGGGGACCAUUCCGUAAGGCUAAAUACUAAUUGGUGACCGAUAGCGAACUAGUACCGUGAGGGAAAGGUGAAAAGAACCCCGGGAGGGGAGUGAAAUAGAAUCUGAAACCCUAUGUUUACAAGCAGACAGAGCGAUUUAAGGCGCGAUGUCGUACUUUUUGUAGAACGGUCCAGCGAGUUAUAGUGUAUGGCAAGGUUAAGUUUUAAGUAAGGAACGGAGCCGAAGCGAAAGCGAGUCUGAAUAGGGCGAAUUAAGUCAUGCGUUAUAGACCCGAAACCGGGUGACCUAUCCAUGGUCAGGAUGAAGCAAGAGUAAAAUCUUGUGGAGGUCCGAACUGAUUGUCGUUAAAAAGGCACCGGAUGAACUGUGGAUAGCGGAGAAAUUCCAAUCGAACUCGGAGAUAGCUGGUUCUCCUCGAAAUAGCUUUAGGGCUAGCCUUGGAGGAAGACGAAUGGAGGUAGAGCACUGAAUGAGGUAGGGGCCUAACCAGGUUACCGAACUCUAUCAAACUCCGAAUGCCAUUCGUUAAUAUCCAGGAGUCAGACUACGGGAGCUAAGUUCCGUGGUCAAAAGGAAAAGAGUCCAGAUCGUCAAUUAAGGUCCCAAAUGGAUAGCUAAGUGGAAAACGAUGUGAUUUUGCGUAAACAACCAGGAUGUUGGCUCAGAAGCAGCCAUUCAUUAAAAGAGUGCGUAAUAGCUCACUGGUCGAGUGAAGUUGCGCGGAAAAUUACCGGGGCUAAGUUAUCAACCGAAAUUGCGGAUUUGUAAUUUAUUACAAGUGGUAGAGGAGCAUUCUAUUGUAGGAUGAAGUCAGAGCGUGAGCACUGGUGGACGAGAUAGAAGAGAGAAUGCUGGAAUAAGUAGCGAGAGCAGGGUGAGAAUCCCUGCCGUCGAAAGUCUAAGGUUUCCUGGGGAAGGUUCGUCCGCCCAGGGUUAGUCAGGACCUAAGGAGAGGCCGAAAGGCGUAUCUGAUGGAUAGCAGGUUGAUAUUCCUGCACUAUAUAAUACUUAAAAGAUGCAACUGACGCAGAAGUGGAAGGUGAGCAAGGAAAUGGAAAAACUUGUUCCGCAAGGGGGAGUGAAAAUAAAGUAACGAAGCACCAAGAAGCACGCUGACGAGAAAAGGUUGUAGAUCUUGUAUUAUAUACUUGUACCGCAAACCGACACAGGUAGAUGAGGAGAGGAUCCUAAGACGAUCGGGAGAAGCAUUGUUAAGGAACUCGGCAAAUUGACCCCGUAACUUUGGAAGAAGGGGUACUGGUGUAACAGCCAGUCGCAGAGAAUUGUCCCAAGCAACUGUUUAACAAAAACAUAGGUUUCUGCUAAAUCGAAAGAUGAAGUAUAGGAGCUGACGCCUGCCCAGUGCUGGAAGGUUAAGGGAACGUGUUAAUAGUAAUAUGAAGCACCGAACUGAAGCCCCAGUGAACGGCGGCCGUAACUAUAACGGUCCUAAGGUAGCGAAAUUCCUUGUCAGGUAAGUUCUGACCCGCACGAAAGG